GACGUAGGGCGCGAGCGUUGUCCGGAAUUACUGGGCGUAAAGAGCUCGUAGGUGGUUUGUCGCGUUGUUCGUGAAAACUCACAGCUCAACUGUGGGCGUGCGGGCGAUACGGGCAGACUGGAGUACUGCAGGGGAGACUGGAAUUCCUGGUGUAGCGGUGAAAUGCGCAGAUAUCAGGAGGAACACCAGCGGCGAAGGCGGCGCUCUGGGCCGGUACUGACACUGAGGAGCGAAAGCGUGGGUAGCAAACAGG
rnacentral:rRNA from 1 species